UAGUGAGUUUGAUCCUGGCUCAGGAUGAACGCUAGCGGCAGGCCUAAUACAUGCAAGUCGAACGGGUGUAGCAAUACACUAGUGGCGCACGGGUGCGUAACGCGUAACCAACCUGCCCUUGACUGGGGGAUAGCCCACCGAAAGGCGGAUUAAUACCGCAUAAACUCACAGUAUGGCAUCAUACAAUGAGUAAAGAUUUAUUGGUCAAGGAUGGGGGUUGCGUGACAUUAGCUAGUUGGCGGGG
rnacentral:rRNA from 1 species